UAACAAGGUUUCCGUAGGUGAACCUGCGGAAGGAUCAUUACCGAGUGUAGGGUUCCUAGCGAGCCCAACCUCCCACCCGUGUUUACUGUACCUUAGUUGCUUCGGCGGGCCCGCCAUUCAUGGCCGCCGGGGGCUCUCAGCCCCGGGCCCGCGCCCGCCGGAGACACCACGAACUCUGUCUGAUCUAGUGAAGUCUGAGUUGAUUGUAUCGCAAUCAGUUAAAACUUUCAACAAUGGAUCUCUUGGUUCCGGCAUCGAUGAAGAACGCAGCGAAAUGCGAUAACUAGUGUGAAUUGCAGAAUUCCGUGAAUCAUCGAGUCUUUGAACGCACAUUGCGCCCCCUGGUAUUCCGGGGGGCAUGCCUGUCCGAGCGUCAUUGCUGCCCAUCAAGCACGGCUUGUGUGUUGGGUCGUCGUCCCCUCUCCGGGGGGGACGGGCCCCAAAGGCAGCGGCGGCACCGCGUCCGAUCCUCGAGCGUAUGGGGCUUUGUCACCCGCUCUGUAGGCCCGGCCGGCGCUUGCCGAACGCAAAUCAAUCUUUUUCCAGGUUGACCUCGGAUCAGGUAGGGAUACCCGCUGAACUUAAGCAUAUC
rnacentral:rRNA from 1 species